ACUGAGUCCUCGUUCUCCCGCCCCCUUUUCAUGCGGCAACUACCGCUGCCUAUGCCAUGUAUUGUUCUAAGGUGGUGUAAUAGUCGGCCUGGCACUGCGAAUUUGGAGGCACAGAGGGUACAAUGAAGCACCUGCGGUCUCAUCGAGACUCGUGUGCUCGAUGGUAGAGGAACGAUCGCCACCACUGGAGGGGGCUCCGGGGAGAUGUCCACUGCAGGUGUUGCAUCGCCGUAUUUGAUCCUCCGGAAGGCAUAAGCUCGCACAAAGCCAUGUUUGUUUACCCUGUGCGUUACAGCACUCGAGUGGGAUUGGUAUUUGGCAUCACAUUCCGUACAUUUGAUCGGUUCGGAGGUUCUCUGAAGAGUGCGUGUCGCAACAGUUGGGGCUGUUUGUAUUGUUGGCCCUAUCGCUGCAUGUUGUGGGUUGCACCAUCUGCACUGUGGAGGCACACUCGGGUUGAUCUUUCGCAACAUCCAUCCAUAGUGUCUUGAAGACCCAACCCGAAAGCGUGCCAGUGCCGUUUCUUCUUCCCUCGUCAGUUCUUCCUUAUGUUUUGUUGGAAAGUGGUUGCCGUGAUACCAAACCUAUGAGUGUUAUCAUGGACUUCUUCCGACCUAAGCACUCGCUUCGCAUAAGCAAUGAUGUCGGGGAUCCAUGUAUCUCGCAACUGUGGUAAAUCAGCGGCCUUUUUGGCCAUUUCAUCACAAACCUCAUUCCGUUUCACGCCACAAUGGCCAAACACAAAUUGCAGUUGGAUACGCACCUUCCUUCUCUGAACUUGAAGCAGAAGCCUCCAUAGUCGUCUCAGAAUUGGGUCCGUUACGGCUAGGGUGCCUGUCUGCAGUGCUGUUAACAUUGACAGCGAGUCAGAGAAGAUGGACAACCUGCUCGGUGUGCUUCUGUAUGCCGGAAGCCAUUUCAGCAGCCGUUGCAGUCCUAUCUCUAAUGCUACGCAUUCCGCUCUGUAACUGCAUGAGAGUUCCCCUGCUCCAGUUUUGGGUGCACAAAUCAGCGUGUUUUUUCUAUAGAGCAGAGCAACUGCUCCGGACUUCUCACCGAGGGACACGGAUCCAUCAGUCCACAAUUCGUAGUGCUCUCGCCGCGGUGGCUCCUUCCCCCUCCGUGUAAAAUGCCGUGCAAUCCACUUUUCGGAAGCCUCCCUUUUGACAUCGUCAGGGUCAUCAGCGCACACAGGCUUUAUCUGCGUGUGAAAUAGCGGUCGGCAGCUGUGGCGGAGCGUCGAUGUCUCUAGUGGGUGCUCGCGUGGCUCAAUGCGGAGGUGGGGAUAAGACCGCAUGAUGCGGGAAUGUAAGACUCUGACUGGAUGUUUGCUGUGGUAUACUUCCUCAUCACUGCGCCGCAAACAUCCGCCUCGUGACUCACACAUCAGUAUGAAUUUCAUGCUGCGCACAAGAGUGGCCGUCUUGAGUGGCAGGAGGUUUGCUUCCAGCAGAGAGUCCUCUUUGCGCGUCCCAUGCAGUAUGCCAGCUAUGAUGCGACUGGCUUUGUGUUGUGCUGAUGCAAGGAGGUCGCGACUUCGUUCCGAAGCGUCCCAGUACCAUACCUCAAUGCCGUACAUGGUGUGUGCCUGUACGAGUGCUAGAUAAAAAGCUCUCAGCACUUGUCGUCUUGGCCCCCAUGUAGAAGCUGAGAUGGAUGCUAUCUGCAGUAGUCGGAAGUCCAUCUUGCGUCUCGUUUCGGCCGCAUGUGUUGCCAUCCCUUGCAGACACUGGAAUGUUACUCCUAGAAGCUUCGGUGUCCUGUCAGCUCCUAUUCUUUCGCCGUCUAGUUGUAAUGUAAGGGGAUGGCGCUCUAUACACCCGAAGAGUGUGCACUUUGUUUUCGCUAUAUUGACAGACAUGAAGUACUCUUGUGACCACUGUAACACCACGUUUAGGCCGCAUUGCAGUGUGUGGUUGAUGGCAUCCCUCUCUGUGUGUCUCGCAAGUAGCGUUAGGUCGUUUGCAAAGAAUCCGUGCUGCAGUAACAGCACUUCUGCAAGGCGUUGGCUCAACGAGUUCAUGACAAUAAUGAACAUGAUUGGGCCAAGGACAGUUCCUUGUGGCACUCCUCGCUCAAAUGUUCUGCUUCUGGAAAGCCUCUCCUUGAAUCUCACUCUGCCAGUUCGGUUACUCAGAGAUGAUACGCACCACUUCACAAUGUAGGGUGAUACCUUCAUUCUGUGCAUUUUCCUCGCAAUUUUGUCGUUGUACACUGUAUCGAAUGCCUUCUCGUAGUCAACGAAUACAGCACCUGUACGAUAUUGGUGCGUGGGACGGCAGAGGGCAGCGCGGACGUGCAGGAGUUGUUCGAGCGUUGAGCAUCCGGGGCGAAAGCCUGAUUGCUGCGGCGUCAGCUGGGACUCAACAGUGUCUCUAAGCCUCGCGGCAAUUAUGCGCUCCAUGUCUUUGCAGAGACAGCUUGUGAGCGUCACAGGCCUGUAAGAAUCGAGGUCCUCCGCCUUUUUUCCGGCCUUCAGGAUGGGGAUGAUAACACCAAUCUUCCAUGCAGGCGGCACGACUCCCGUUCGUAGGCUCUCAUUGAAUAGCCUCAGAACAACAUUCAGCGCUGUUCUACCGAGAUGUUGCAGUGCCUUGUUGUAUAGGCAAUCAGGUCCUGCUGCGGAUCCACUCGGAAGUAGUUUGAUCGAUCUCCGUAGUUCAGCCAUCGUGAUGGGACUGAACUCACUCGCUAUCGUCUUUAUUGGUGCCGGUGGGUGUGAGUCGGGUUGCCUUCUUGCGCGGGACGAGUACAGUUUACUGAACCUCUCAGCUUGACGGUAGUCCGUGAUGGCCGCGUUAUCAACAAGUACCGCCAGUGUGGUUAGUGGUCGUGGCGCAUAUACCUUCUUGACAAUGUGACAACUGCAGCGGUCUGACACCGCAAGUCUGGAGCAUAGCGUGCUCCAUCUCUUCUUUGU
rnacentral:rRNA from 1 species